rnacentral:rRNA from 1 species
AUGGGUUCCUCGUUGGAGGAGAAGGACCACCAGGAUGUCUGCGCUCCCAUCACCGCGACCUCCUCGCCUGGCGGCCUGCUCAUGUGUUCAUCGUCUGAGGAGAAGAAGGAUCUCCUUUUCUUUUCAUCAACACCAAGAGCGAGCAAGCACAACCCCGGGAGCACCCAGUCAAAGGGUACCCACCCUCUUCAUCCCAAAAUCAUUAAUCAUCUUGUUUGUUACCCACCCUGGGAAUGGAGUGGGAGGUGUUGUUUGUUCAUACUCCCUCCGUUUCUAAAUAUAAGUCUUUCUAAAAAUUUCAACUAG